UGAAACAUCUAAGUACCCCGAGGUUAAGAAAUUAAGCGUACACGGUGGAUGCCUAGGCAAUCAGAGGCGAAGAAGGACGUGUUAAUCUGCGAAAAGCGACGGUAAGCCGAUAAAAGGCGUUAUAGCCGUUGAUGUCCGAAUGGGGAAACCCAAUGCAUUUUAUGCAUUAUCCUUAACUGAAUAAAUAGGUUAAGGAGGCGAACCGGGAGAACUGAAACAUCUAAGUACCCCGAGGAAAAGAAAUCAACCGAGAUUCCCAAAGUAGCGGCGAGCGAAAUGGGAGGAGCCCAAAGCGGGUAGCAUGAUGUGUUAGUGGAAGCGUCUGGAAAGUCGCACGAUAUAGGGUGAAAGUCCCGUACACGAAGAUGCAUGAUGUGGAAGCUUGAAGAGUAGGGCGGGACACGUGAUAUCCUGUCUGAAUAUGGGGGGACCAUCCUCCAAGGCUAAAUACUCCUGAUUGACCGAUAGUGAACCAGUACCGUGAGGGAAAGGCGAAAAGAACCCCGGGAGGGGAGUGAAAUAGAACCUGAAACCGUGUACGUACAAUCAGUGGGAGCAUCAUUUAUGGUGUGACUGCGUACCUUUUGUAUAAUGGGUCAGCGACUUAUAUUCUGUAGCAAGGUUAACCGAAUAGGGGAGCCGAAGGGAAACCGAGUCUUAACUGGGCGAUUUAGUUGCAGGGUAUAGACCCGAAACCCGGUGAUCUAGCCAUGGGCAGGUUGAAGGUUGGUUAACACUAACUGGAGGACCGAACCGACUAAUGUUGAAAAAUUAGCGGAUGACCUGUGGCUGGGGGUGAAAGGCCAAUCAAACCGGGAGAUAGCUGGUUCUCCCCGAAAGCUAUUUAGGUAGCGCCUCAUGCGUUUACUGUUGGGGGUAGAGCACUGUUUCGGCUAGGGGGCCAUCCCGGCUUACCAACCCGAUGCAAACUCCGAAUACUGACAAGUAUAGCAUGGGAGACACACGGCGGGUGCUAACGUUCGUCGUGAAGAGGGAAACAACCCAGACCGCCAGCUAAGGUCCCAAAGUCAUAGUUAAGUGGGAAACGAAGUGGGAAGGCUUAGACAGCUAGGAUGUUGGCUUAGAAGCAGCCAUCAUUUAAAGAAAGCGUAAUAGCUCACUAGUCGAGUCGGCCUGCGCGGAAGAUGUAACGGGGCUAAAACUAUGCACCGAAGCUGCGGCAGUGUGUGAAUAACAUAUUGGGUAGGGGAGCGUUCUGUAAGCCGUAGAAGGUAUCUUGUGAGGGGUGCUGGAGGUAUCAGAAGUGCGAAUGCUGACAUAAGUAACGAUAAAGCGGGUGAAAAGCCCGCUCGCCGGAAGACCAAGGGUUCCUGUCCAACGUUAAUCGGGGCAGGGUGAGUCGACCCCUAAGGAGAGGCCGAAAGGCGUAUCUAAUGGGAAACGGGUUAAUAUUCCCGUACUGAAUAUAACUGCGAUGGGGGGACGAAGAAGGCUAGGUUUACCACCUAUUGGAUGGUGGGUUAAGCGUGUAGGGGUGUGACUUGGAAAAUCCGGUCACUGUAACUCUGAGGCGUGAUGACGAGGCACUAAGGUGCUGAAGUAAUUGAUGCCCUGCUUCCAGGAAAAGCCUCUAAGCUCUAGGUUAUAUUGAAUCGUACCCGAAACCGACACAGGUGGUCAGGUAGAGAAUACUCAGGCGCUUGAGAGAACUCGGGUGAAGGAACUAGGCAAAAUGGUGCCGUAACUUCGGGAGAAGGCACGCUGAUAUUAAUUGAAGUCCCUAGCGGAUGGAGGUGAAAUCAGU
rnacentral:rRNA from 1 species